rnacentral:sRNA from 15 species
CUUGAUAAACUUUAUUGGAUCGGAAACGCUUCCUUCUGGGUGCUACACACACAUCUACCCUAUACUCUCUUUGAGAUUUCUUGCAGAUUCCAUUCCUGCGGGCGGUACAACAACAAAAUUUAGAUCAGAUCAAGAUUUAUUUUGCCGGAAAAUAAGCGAAAACCUUCCCUUUUAUCGAUAUCAUAAAUCCAAAGGCAUCAAAUACAUUGUACAUAUGUAUAUUCGUUAUCUUUUAGGAAACUACUUCCUUUGUUAAUCGCUAAAGGCCAUAAAGAUACCCCAGAAGAGCCCUCAAAACCCGUUCAACCAAGAGACAGUCAAAACCUUCAUUAAAUCUUGGAAUAUAGCUAUUGCUACUACUAAAAUACUGCUACUGCUAAUACCUCAGAUAUAUUCCUCAUCAUUGGAAUGAACUUCCUUUCAUCUCAAGGUGUGCUUCAAAACUAUAAAAUAUGGCUAUAUAUAGGUGUUAUAAGCCAGAUAUAUCCAUAAUCAAUGUAAGUACUUUGCUUUCAAUCAUUAAACAUCUCCAGAAGAUCCCUCUAAAGCACUUAUUUCUUAAAUAUUCCGACGCCUUCCUCUCCAAACUUCAGACAUACCACAAAAACCCUGUCCUUUCCCCAAUAAAAACCUCUUUAAAUGUUAAUUAUAUUUUUUUUUUGUAUGUAUAAUAUCUGUGCCAUUUAUUGUUUAUCGUUUGUUGCGUGUUUAAAUAAUGUUCCUGUGUGUGUGUGAGGGAUUGGAGGAGGUCCUAGCCAGACGCUACAGCGUAUCCAUUCAUUCCAAUAUUAUAAUCGUAAUAGCUAGGCGAUCUAAAUAGUAUUUUGUGUAUUUAUAUAUAAUUAUAACUGAAAAACGCAUCUGUGUAUCUUUUAUCUUGUAUCUAAUGUAAAAUUGUAAGUCUACAGCUGAAUUUUUAGGACAGUUUUAAACCCUUAACUAGACUGCGAGAGAUAGAUAGAGAGAGAGAGAGAGAGAAAACAAUAAAUUGGUUAUUGGAUUAGCUUAGAUGAUCGAUCCAUUUGUUAG